rnacentral:rRNA from 1 species
UACGUAGGGUGCAAGCGUUGUCCGGAAUUAUUGGGCGUAAAGAGCUCGUAGGCGGUCUGUCGCGUCUGCUGUGAAAACUCGGGGCUCAACCCCGAGCCUGCUUCCGAUACGGGCAGACUAGAGGUAUGCAGGGGAGAAUGGAAUUCCUGGUGUAGCGGUGAAAUGCGCAGAUAUCAGGAGGAACACCGGUGGCGAAGGCGGUUCUCUGGGCAUUACCUGACGCUGAGGAGCGAAAGUGUGGGGGAGCGAACAGG